rnacentral:rRNA from 1 species
UGGGGAAUAUUGGACAAUGGGGGCAACCCUGAUCCAGCAAUGCCGCGUGUGUGAAGAAGGUUUUCGGAUUGUAAAGCACUUUCGGCGGGGACGAUGAUGACGGUACCCGCAGAAGAAGCCCCGGCUAACUUCGUGCCAGCAGCCGCGGUAAUACGAAGGGGGCUAGCGUUGCUCGGAAUGACUGGGCGUAAAGGGCGUGUAGGCGGUUUGUACAGUCAGAUGUGAAAUCCCCGGGCUUAACCUGGGAGCUGCAUUUGAGACGUGCAGACUAGAGUGUGAGAGAGGGUUGUGGAAUUCCCAGUGUAGAGG